GACGAACGCUGGCGGCGUGCCUAAUACAUGCAAGUCGACCUUAGUGGCUAACGGGUGAGUAACCCGUGGGUAACCUGCCCAUCAGAAGGGGAUAACACUUGGAAAAAGGUGCUAAUACCGGAUACAGAUGGAUGGACCCGCGGUGCCUUAGCUAGUUGGUGAGGUAACGGCUCACCAAGGCCACGAUGCAUAGCGGACCGGAGAGGUUGAUCGGCCACAUUGGGACUGAGACACGGCCCAAACGCCUACGGGAGGCAGCAGUAGGGAAUCUUCGGCAAUGGACGAAAUGCUGACCGAGCAACGCCGCGUGAGUGAAGAAGGUUUUCGGAUCGUAAAACUCUGUUGUUAGAGAAGCGGUAUCUAACCAGAAAGCAACGGCUAACUACGUGCCAGCAGCCGCGGUAAUAC
rnacentral:rRNA from 1 species